AAAGAAUCCAAAUGCCUGUCCAUGAGCUUUUAUUUUCUUCAAAGAACUUAUGUCUAGCUGUAAUUAUUUAUCUCCUCGCCUGUUUAUUUUCAAUCUCCCCUCCUGCCACUGUUCCUGCAGAUUUAAGCUCCAUGGGAGCAGGAAUCUUGUUUCCUCAUUGAACAUUAUGUUCUCAGCUCCUGGAAAAGUGCCUGUUACAGGGCAGAAGCUUUCAAAAGCCUUCAAGGCCAUCUUCAGGCAGGAUGUAAAGACUACCAUGUCUUGAGGUCACCCAGGCAGUUCUGUGGAGAUGCCCACAUGUCAAGGAACUGAGACUUUUGGACAAUACCACUGAACAACUGAGGACUCGUGCUGACCGCCUUGUGCCCUUUCUGGAGGCAGAAUCUCCAAGCCCAUCCAAAUCAGAUGAUGUAUCCUCAGCUGACAGCUUGUCUACAACCUCAUGAGACACCCUGAGCCACGACCACCCAGCUAAGUUACUCCUGGAUUUCUGACUCAACUGUGAGAUAAUAGUUUGUUGUUUUAAGUCACUAAACCUUGAAAAAAAUCUGUUACAUGGCAAAAGAUAAUCAAAU
rnacentral:lncRNA from 13 species